CGUGAUCUCGGCUCGCUACAACCUCCACCUCCCAGCCGCCUGCCUUGGCCUCCCAAAGUGCCCAGAGUGCAGCCUCUGCCCGGCCGCCACCCUGUCUGGGAAGUGAGGAGCGUCUCUGCCUGGCCGCCCAUCGUCUGGGAUGUGAGGAGCCCCUCUGCCUGGCUGCCCAGUCUGGAAAGUGAGGAGCGUCUCUGCCCGGCCGCCGUCCCAUCUAGGAAGUGAGGAGCGCCUCUUCCCGGCCGCCAUCCCAUCUAGGAAGUGAGGAGCGUCUCUGCCCGGCCGCCCAUCGUCUGGGAUGUGGGGAGCGCCUCUGCCCCGCCGCCCCGUCUGGGAUGUGAGGAGCGUCUCUGCCUGGCCGCCCCUACUGGGAAGUGAGGAGCCCCUCUGCCCGGCCAGCCGCCCCGUCCAGGAGGGAGGUGGGGGGGGGGUCAGCCUCCCGCCAGGCCAGCUGCCCCGUCCGGGAGG
rnacentral:lncRNA from 1 species